rnacentral:rRNA from 1 species
UACGUAGGUGGCAAGCGUUGUCCAGAUUUAUUGGGCGUAAAGCGCGCGCAGGCGGUCCUUUAAGUCUGAUGUGAAAUCUCGGGGCUCAACCCCGAGCGGUCAUUGGAAACUGGGAGACUUGAGUGCAGAAGAGAAGAGCGGAAUUCCACGUGUAGCGGUGAAAUGCGUAGAGAUGUGGAGGAACACCAGUGGCGAAGGCGGCUCUUUGGUCUGUAACUGACGCUGAGGCCCGAAAGCGUGGGGAGCGAACAGG